AGGAGAAGAGCUACUCAGACUUCCGUUUGGGCGAAAUCAACUUUCCUCAUAAAAGUAUGUAAUAAAACAAAAGGGGAACAUCUUCCAUGAGAGGGGCACAGUGUUUCUCCUGAGUGUGAAACUGGCUCUUGGUGUUACCUCAUUGCACUUUGUCAUCAACGAUCCUUCCUCUCUUUCUUGAGAGAGAGUAAGAAGGAGAAGACAUAGUCUGAGUGGC